rnacentral:rRNA from 1 species
UACAUGGGGUGCAAACGUUGCUCGGAAUUACUGGGCGUAAAGCGUGCGUAGGUGGUUUGUUAAGUCUGAUGUGAAAGCCCUGGGCUCAACCUGGGAAUUGCAUUGGAUACUGGCAGGCUAGAGUGCGGUAGAGGAUGGCGGAAUUCCCGGUGUAGCAGUGAAAUGCGUAGAGAUCGGGAGGAACAUCUGUGGCGAAGGCGGCCAUCUGGACCAGCACUGACACUGAGGCACGAAAGCGUGGGGAGCAAACAGG